AAUUUAUUUGGUCGGCAUUGAUAGCAGAUUUUUUUGGGGAAAAGUUUUUCAAAUUUGGAGGCAAUUCAUUUUGACUUUUUCUUUUCAUACAUAUUUGUUUUUAUCAAUCCACCCAAACCAAACCCAGAAGACUCUUGACUCUUGCUCUCCCUCUCUCUCAGGGACGACUCACCAUCACUUUAGCCCCUAUCGCUCACCGUUGAUCUUCCACCAUCGUUCACCGUCGAUCUUCCAUUGUCGCACACCGCCACCGCCGUUGUUCACCUCGUAGCUCCUCGCAUUGCAUUGCUUCGACAGUGAGAUGGCAUGGUUGCGUGGACUUGUGGAUAAUCCAUAUUGGUAUAAUGACUGCCAUGGCACGUAGAUCACCUUCUGUCGUGGUACAUAUAUACCAUUUGUUGGCAUACAUAUAGGACGUUUUGUCAUGGUCCAUAGAAAACUUGUCGUGAUAUAUCACUUUUUGUUGUGGUACAGAUUACGAUGGUAAUUUGUACCAUGCCAAAUGGUAAUUUCGCUUGGACGUAAAUGUAUUUUUUUUGUGUACGUAGGGUUUUGAUUUUUGUAUGAUAUAUUUUG